rnacentral:rRNA from 1 species
ACGCUCGACACCUACGGAGGCAGCAGUGGGGAAUAUUGCACAAUGGGGGAAACCCUGAUGCAGCGACGCCGCGUGAGCGAAGAAGUAUUUCGGUAUGUAAAGCUCUAUCAGCAGGGAANAAGAAAGACGGUACCUGACUAAGAAGCCCCGGCUAACUACGUGCCGAGCACGCCGGUAGUAUNGCGGCGNGUGAGAG